rnacentral:rRNA from 1 species
UCGGGGGUACACGAGUGGCGAACGGGUGAGUAACACGUGGGUAAUCUGCCCUGCACUUCGGGAUAAGCCUGGGAAACCGGGUCUAAUACCGGAUAUGAGCUCCUGCCGCAUGGUGGGGGUUGGAAAGUUUUUCGGUGCAGGAUGAGUCCGCGGCCUAUCAGCUUGUUGGUGGGGUAAUGGCCUACCAAGGCGACGACGGGUAGCCGGCCUGAGAGGGUGAUCGGCCACACUGGGACUGAGACACGGCCCAGACUCCUACGGGAGGCAGCAGUGGGGAAUAUUGCACAAUGGGCGGAAGCCUGAUGCAGCGACGCCGCGUGGGGGAUGACGGUCUUCGGAUUGUAAACUCCUUUCAGUAGGGACGAAGCGAGAGUGACGGUACCUGCAGAAGAAGCACCGGCCAACUACGUGCCAGCAGCCGCGGUAAUACGUAGGGUGCAAGCGUUGUCCGGAAUUACUGGGCGUAAAGAGCUCGUAGGCGGUUUGUCGCGUCGUCUGUGAAAUCCUCCAGCUCAACUGGGGGCGUGCAGGCGAUACGGGCAGACUUGAGUACUACAGGGGAGACUGGAAUUCCUGGUGUAGCGGUGAAAUGCGCAGAUAUCAGGAGGAACACCGGUGGCGAAGGCGGGUCUCUGGGUAGUAACUGACGCUGAGGAGCGAAAGCAUGGGGAGCAAACAGGAUUAGAUACCCUGGUAGUCCAUGCCGUA